GACGAACCGUACAAACGUUAUUCGGAAUUACUGGGCGUAAAGCGCACGUAGGCGGACUAUUAAGUCAGGGGUGAAAUCCUGGAGCUCAACUCCAGAACUGCCUUUGAUACUGGCGAUCUCGAGUCCGGGAGAGGUGAGUGGAACUGCGAGUGUAGAGGUGAAAUUCGUAGAUAUUCGCAAGAACACCAGUGGCGAAGGCGGCUCACUGGCCCGGUACUGACGCUGAGGUGCGAAAGCGUGGGGAGCAAACAGG
rnacentral:rRNA from 1 species